AGUCUGGAAUAACCUGCCGAAAGGCGGGCUAAUACUGGAUAGAGCGAUGGAAUCCGUAAUUGGGUUUUUCGGGAAAGGGAGGAUGCAAGUCCCUCGCUCUCUGAUGAGCCCGCGUCUCAUUAGCUAGUUGGUGGGGUAAUGGCUCACCAAGGCAUUGAUGGGUAGCUGGUCUGAGAGGAUGGCCAGCCACAUUGGGACUGAGAUACGGCCCAG
rnacentral:rRNA from 1 species